CUCAGAACUCAUGGUAGCAAAGAGAACACCAAACAGCCUACUCCUUUGUCUACCAUUUGGAGCCAUAUUAGGAAAACAAGAGGAAGAAUACCUGAGAAGAAAGUGCACUGUGAUUAAUUUUCUGUGAAACAGUCUCAUUCAGCAUGCACAGACUUCAGAAUUUUUCCCAUCCAAUUCUGGGCAGCAUGAGAUUUCUGUGCCUUUCAAGGAGACCUAAAUUUGCAUUAAAAAAAGCCCUGACUAGUUAAUCAGGUCAUCCAGAAAUAACAAUGAAAAGAAGAUGGCAAGAGAGAGAAUUUGAAAGAGAAAAUGGCUUCUUUGAUGUUCCUUAUACAAGAUAUUCCCUCUCCUUACUCCUGGCAUUUUCACUGACCUCCCUCAUCCCUGGAAUACUCUCUCUCCUCAUCUCUGCUUCCUGGCCCCCUUGUUCCUUCAAGUUCCAGCUAAAAGCCCACCCUCUAUGGGAAGCCU